rnacentral:tRNA from 1 species
GUGGGAGUAGCUCAGCUGGUUAGAGCGCCAGACUGUGGAUCUGGAGGUCGGGGGUUCAAGACCCCUCUCCCACC